ACGUAGGGUGCGAGCGUUAAUCGGAAUUACUGGGCGUAAAGCGUGCGCAGGCGGUUUUGUAAGACAGAUGUGAAAUCCCCGGGCUUAACCUGGGAACUGCGUUUGUGACUGCAAGGCUAGAGUACGGCAGAGGGGGGUGGAAUUCCGCGUGUAGCAGUGAAAUGCGUAGAGAUGCGGAGGAACACCGAUGGCGAAGGCAACCCCCUGGGCCUGUACUGACGCUCAUGCACGAAAGCGUGGGGAGCAAACAGGAUUAGAUACCCUGGUAGUCCACGCCCUAAACGAUGUCGACUAGUCGUUCGGAGCAGCAAUGCACUGAGUGACGCAGCUAACGCGUGAAGUCGACCGCCUGGGGAGUACGGCCGCAAGGUUA
rnacentral:rRNA from 1 species